CCUACGGGGGGCUGCAGUGGGGAAUAUUGCGCAAUGGGCGAAAGCCUGACGCAGCGACGCCGCGUGAGGGAUGAAGGUCUUCGGAUCGUACACCUCUGUCAGCAGGGAAGAACGGUCACUGUGCUAAUCAGCAGUGAAUUGACGGUACCGGCAAAGGAAGCAGCGGCUAACGCCGUGCCAGCAGCCGCGGUAAUACGGAGGGUUCGGGAGUUAAUCGGAAUUACUGGGCGGAAAGCCCUCGUAGGCGGUAUGUCAAGUCAAGGGUGAAAUCCCCGCGCUCAACGUGGGAACUGCCUUUGAAACUGGCAAACUUGAGUGUGUGAGAGGAUAGUGGAAUUCCAGGUGUAGGAGUGAAAUCCGUAGAUAUCUGGAGGAACAUCAGUGGCGAAGGCGACUAUCUGGCACAUAACUGACGCUGAGGAGCGAAAGCGUGGGUAGCAAACAGGAUUAGAUACCCGAGUAGUC
rnacentral:rRNA from 1 species